rnacentral:misc_RNA from 1 species
GAAAUUUUUUUGAAAUUUCUUUAUUAAUCUAUAUUUGUUCAUUGAUAGAUUUUAUGAACUUAUAGGUUUAAAUUAAGGACUCAGGAACAUGAAUAGAAUAAUGUAAGCUUUGAAACUUAAUCUAUCUACUAUUAUGAAUGGGACUUGAAAAGUCCUAGAUCCAAUUGAGGAUCCAUGCACAUCUUUCACAAAUAAUUUCCAGUGAAUUGAGAAGCACCAACAUUGGCUGAGUUGCUAAAAUUAACUUACAAACAACUAAAUUAGACAUUGUACGAAUUAAAAUAAAUCAAAUAAAUAAGGCUUAGACUUGCAAUUUCUUUUUCCUCUUAGAACUUCCAUCAACGACAUGUUCCUUGUAAA